AACUAAGUUUGUUAUUGGUAUGAGCUUUCGUGUGCUUGCACACUUCUUCAGAUACCUUCUUCGUGUGCAUGCACACGAAAGCUCAUACCAAUAACAAACUUAGUUGC
rnacentral:miRNA from 1 species